CUUCGCCCGGCAAGGCUGGCCAGGAGGGGUGCAUUCUCCCUUUCCGCGUAUUUCAAGACCACUCCCCUUCUGCAUGCUCGGUGUCCCAGUCUGUCUCCUCGCUGCCUCCCGAGGCCUGGAACUGAAGCAAAGUUCGCCCCGAAGCCGACCGUUCUUUGAAGUUGAAAUCCUCAAAAAGCCUGCAGACUGAAUAGCGCUGUACUGGGCACGCGCAUUGCGCUUCCAGCCGCCCUUGGGUGCUGCGUGCUGGGCCGGGUCGGGUUGGGGCCUUCCUACAUACUCUUGCGACCAUUAGGCUCUUCUUGGGUGAGUUGCAAGUUAAAAUUACCAGGGCUCUCUGA
rnacentral:lncRNA from 1 species